AGCGAACGCUGGCGGCAGGCCUAACACAUGCAAGUCGAACGAACUCUUCGGAGUUAGUGGCGGACGGGUGAGUAACACGUGGGAACGUGCCUUUUGGUUUGGAAUAACUCAGGGAAACUUGUGCUAAUACCGAAUGUGCCCUUCGGGGGAAAGAUUUAUCGCCAUUAGAGCGGCCCGCGUCUGAUUAGCUAGUUGGUGAGGUAACGGCUCACCAAGGCGACGAUCAGUAGCUGGUCUGAGAGGAUGACCAGCCACACUGGGACUGAGACACGGCCCAGACUCCUACGGGAGGCAGCAGUGGGGAAUCUUGCGCAAUGGGCGAAAGCCUGACGCAGCCAUGCCGCGUGAAUGAUGAAGGUCUUAGGAUUGUAAAAUUCUUUCACCGGGGACGAUAAUGACGGUACCCGGAGAAGAAGCCCCGGCUAACUUCGUG
rnacentral:rRNA from 1 species